GGGAUGUGAUGAGUGGCCAUUGCUCGCAUUAAAUAUGCGAGAAGAGCGUCCAGGCCCAGCCUGGUUACAACAAUUUGGGUGCUCUCAUUUUAACCAAUCUGAUCCC